UACUGCUAUCGAUGUCAACAGUCACAGCAUU
rnacentral:piRNA from 1 species